rnacentral:rRNA from 1 species
GGGUUGUGAGGUUAAGCGACUAAGCGUACACGGUGGAUGCCCUGGCAGUCAGAGGCGAUGAAGGACGUGCUAAUCUGCGAAAAGCGUCGGUAAGGUGAUAUGAACCGUUACAGCCGGCGAUGUCCGAAUGGGGAAACCCAGUGUGAUUCGUCACACUAUCGUUAACUGAAUACAUAGGUUAACGAGGCGAACCGGGGGAACUGAAACAUCUAAGUACCCCGAGGAAAAGAAAUCAACCGAGAUUCCCCCAGUAGCGGCGAGCGAACGGGGAGCAGCCCAGAGUCUGAAUCAGCUUGUGUGUUAGUGGAACGGUCUGGAAAGUCCGACGGUACAGGGUGAUAGUCCCGUACACCAAAAUGCACAGGCUGUGAACUCGAAGAGUAGGGCGGGACACGUGGUAUCCUGUCUGAAUAUGGGGGGACCAUCCUCCAAGGCUAAAUACUCCUGACUGACCGAUAGUGAACCAGUACCGUGAGGGAAAGGCGAAAAGAACCCCGGCGAGGGGAGUGAAAAAGAACCUGAAACCGUGUACGUACAAGCAGUGGGAGCACCUUUAUGGUGUGACUGCGUACCUUUUGUAUAAUGGGUCAGCGACUUAUAUUCUGUAGCAAGGUUAACCGUAUAGGGGAGCCGCAGGGAAACCGAGUCUUAACUGGGCGUUAAGUUGCAGGGUAUAGACCCGAAACCCGGUGAUCUAGCCAUGGGCAGGUUGAAGGUUGGGUAACACUAACUGGAGGACCGAACCGACUAAUGUUGAAAAAUUAGCGGAUGACUUGUGGCUGGGGGUGAAAGGCCAAUCAAACCGGGAGAUAGCUGGUUCUCCCCGAAAGCUAUUUAGGUAGCGCCUCGUGAACUCAUCUUCGGGGGUAGAGCACUGUUUCGGCUAGGGGGUCAUCCCGACUUACCAACCCGAUGCAAACUACGAAUACCGAAGAAUGUUAUCACGGGAGACACACGGCGGGUGCUAACGUCCGUCGUGAAGAGGGAAACAACCCAGACCGCCAGCUAAGGUCCCAAAGUCACAGUUAAGUGGGAAACGAUGUGGGAAGGCACAGACAGCCAGGAUGUUGGCUUAGAAGCAGCCAUCAUUUAAAGAAAGCGUAAUAGCUCACUGGUCGAGUCGGCCUGCGCGGAAGAUGUAACGGGGCUAAACUGUGCACCGAAGCUGCGGCAGCGACACUAUGUGUUGUUGGGUAGGGGAGCGUUCUGUAAGCCUGCGAAGGUGGCCUGUGAGGGUUGCUGGAGGUAUCAGAAGUGCGAAUGCUGACAUAAGUAACGAUAAUGCGGGUGAAAAGCCCGCACGCCGGAAGACCAAGGGUUCCUGUCCAACGUUAAUCGGGGCAGGGUGAGUCGACCCCUAAGGCGAGGCCGAAAGGCGUAGUCGAUGGGAAACAGGUUAAUAUUCCUGUACUUGGUGUUACUGCGAAGGGGGGACGGAGAAGGCUAUGUUAGCCGGGCGACGGUUGUCCCGGUUUAAGCAUGUAGGCGGAGGUUCCAGGUAAAUCCGGUACCUUAUUAACGCUGAGGUGUGAUGACGAGGCACUACGGUGCUGAAGUAACAAAUGCCCUGCUUCCAGGAAAAGCCUCUAAGCAUCAGGUAACAUUAAAUCGUACCCCAAACCGACACAGGUGGUCAGGUAGAGAAUACCAAGGCGCUUGAGAGAACUCGGGUGAAGGAACUAGGCAAAAUGGUGCCGUAACUUCGGGAGAAGGCACGCUGAUAUGUAGGUGAAGUCCCUGCGGAUGGAGCUGAAAUCAGUCGAAGAUACCAGCUGGCUGCAACUGUUUAUUAAAAACACAGCACUGUGCAAACACGAAAGUGGACGUAUACGGUGUGACGCCUGCCCGGUGCCGGAAGGUUAAUUGAUGGGGUUAUCCGUAAGGAGAAGCUCUUGAUCGAAGCCCCGGUAAACGGCGGCCGUAACUAUAACGGUCCUAAGGUAGCGAAAUUCCUUGUCGGGUAAGUUCCGACCUGCACGAAUGGCGUAAUGAUGGCCAGGCUGUCUCCACCCGAGACUCAGUGAAAUUGAACUCGCUGUGAAGAUGCAGUGUACCCGCGGCAAGACGGAAAGACCCCGUGAACCUUUACUAUAGCUUGACACUGAACAUUGAGCCUUGAUGUGUAGGAUAGGUGGGAGGCUUUGAAGCGUGGACGCCAGUCUGCGUGGAGCCAACCUUGAAAUACCACCCUUUAAUGUUUGAUGUUCUAACGUUGGCCCCUAAUCGGGGUUGCGGACAGUGUCUGGUGGGUAGUUUGACUGGGGCGGUCUCCUCCCAAAGAGUAACGGAGGAGCACGAAGGUUAGCUAAUCCUGGUCGGACAUCAGGAGGUUAGUGCAAUGGCAUAAGCUAGCUUGACUGCGAGCGUGACGGCGCGAGCAGGUGCGAAAGCAGGUCAUAGUGAUCCGGUGGUUCUGAAUGGAAGGGCCAUCGCUCAACGGAUAAAAGGUACUCCGGGGAUAACAGGCUGAUACCGCCCAAGAGUUCAUAUCGACGGCGGUGUUUGGCACCUCGAUGUCGGCUCAUCACAUCCUGGGGCUGAAGUAGGUCCCAAGGGUAUGGCUGUUCGCCAUUUAAAGUGGUACGCGAGCUGGGUUUAGAACGUCGUGAGACAGUUCGGUCCCUAUCUGCCGUGGGCGCUGGAGAAUUGAGGGGGGCUGCUCCUAGUACGAGAGGACCGGAGUGGACGCAUCACUGGUGUUCGGGUUGUCAUGCCAAUGGCAUUGCCCGGUAGCUAAAUGCGGAAGAGAUAAGUGCUGAAAGCAUCUAAGCACGAAACUUGCCCCGAGAUGAGUUCUCCCUGAGACUUUAAGUCUCCUGAAGGAACGUUAAAGACGAUGACGUUGAUAGGUCGGGUGUGUAAGCGUAGCGAUACGUUGAGCUAACCGAUACUAAUGAACCGUGAGGCUUAACCUUACAACGCCGAAG